GCCGUGGUAGCUCAGUGGUAGAGCAUCGAAAUCAUCAUUCGAAGGUCGCAGGGUCGAAUCCUGCCCAUGGCA